rnacentral:rRNA from 2 species
GAAGGAGAAGCACCUUUCGGGGUGUGGACACUGGCGCACGGGUGAGUAACGCGUGGGAAUCUACCCCGGGGUGGGGGAUAACCGCUGGAAACGGCGGCUAAUACCGCAUACGCCUUAAGAGGGAAAGCUUUAGCGCCCUGGGAUGAGCCCGCGUUAGAUUAGGUUGUUGGUGGGGUAAUGGCCUACCAAGCCUACGAUCUAUAGCUGGUCUGAGAGGAUGAUCAGCCACACUGGGACUGAGACACGGCCCAGACUCCUACGGGAGGCAGCAGUGGGGAAUAUUGGACAAUGGGGGCAACCCUGAUCCAGCCAUGCCGCGUGCGUGAAGAAGGCCUUAGGGUUGUAAAGCGCUUUCACUGGUGAAGAUGAUGACGGUAGCCAGAGAAGAAGCCCCGGCUAACUCCGUGCCAGCAGCCGCGGUAAUACGGAGGGGGCAAGCGUUGUUCGGAAUUACUGGGCGUAAAGGGCGCGUAGGCGGAACGUCAAGUUAGAGGUGAAAGGCCUGGGCUCAACCUAGGAACUGCCUUUAAAACUGACGAUCUAGAGUCCGGAAGAGGAUGGCGGAAUUCCCAGUGUAGAGGUGAAAUUCGUAGAUAUUGGGAAG